CAGUGCUGGGAGACAGCUCUCCCAGUGCUGCACCGCUGAUUACACUGAGGCUUUACAACGCUGUAUCUAGCAGCGCUCAGGGGGGGGUGUGUUCACCCCCUGAGCGCAAAAGUUGCAGUGUUGUAAAGUGCCAGUGUAGCCAAGCCCUUAGA